rnacentral:RNase_P_RNA from 1 species
CAGGAAAGGCGUUCCGUCGCUGGCUUUGAGAAAGUCAGAGGAAAGUCCGGGCAACAUAGAGCGCUGCACUUGCUAACGACAAGAUGUCCGUAAGGGUAUGCUCAACGUAACAGAGAAUAACCGCCCGAAUCUUCGGGUAAGGGUGAAAAGGUAGGGUAAGAGCCUACCGGUUGUAUGGUAACAUACAACGUCUAUGUAAACCCCAUCUGGAGCAACACCGUUUGAAGGUUAAGGUUGUCCGCCGUCUUCUACAAGGUGGCUUGAGCUGUAUAGAGAUAUAUGGCCUAGAUAAAUGAUAGUCAAAUACAGAACCCGGCUUAUAGAUUAUCUCAAUAA